UACGAAGGGGGGCUAGCGUUGCUCGGAAUCACUGGGCGUAAAGGGUGCGUAGGCGGGUUUUUAAGUCAGGGGUGAAAUCCUGGAGCUCAACUCCAGAACUGCCUUUGAUACUGAAGAUCUUGAGUCCGGGAGAGGUGAGUGGAACUGCGGGUGUAGAGGUGAAAUUCGUAGAUAUUCGCAAGAACACCAGUGGCGAAGGCGGCUCACUGGCCCGGUACUGACGCUGAGGCACGAAAGCGUGGGGAGCAAACAGG
rnacentral:rRNA from 1 species